rnacentral:ncRNA from 1 species
AUAUAUGCUGUGAUAAAGAAUAGUAUUAAUGUAAAUCUCUACAGAGAAGUUGUGGAUGGUGUAAACAACUGGGAUUUUAUUUAUGAAGGAACUUUUGAGCUAACUAUGUAUUUAAAGAUGAGCUUGUGCUAAAGAGGGUGGAACCGCGGAAAUAAAAUUCGUCCCUUAU